GAUGAACGCUGGCGGCGUGCCUAAUACAUGCAAGUCGAGCGAACAGACGAGGAGCUUGCUCCUCUGACGUUAGCGGCGGACGGGUGAGUAACACGUGGAUAACCUACCUAUAAGACUGGGAUAACUUCGGGAAACCGGAGCUAAUACCGGAUAAUAUAUUGAACCGCAUGGUUCAAUAGUGAAAGACGGUUUUGCUGUCACUUAUAGAUGGAUCCGCGCCGCAUUAGCUAGUUGGUAAGGUAACGGCUUACCAAGGCGACGAUGCGUAGCCGACCUGAGAGGGUGAUCGGCCACACUGGAACUGAGACACGGUCCAGACUCCUACGGGAGGCAGCAGUAGGGAAUCUUCCGCAAUGGGCGAAAGCUUGACGGAGCAACGCCGCGUGAGUGAUGAAGGUCUUCGGAUCGUAAAACUCUGUUAUUAGGGAAGAACAAAUGUGUAAGUAACUAUGCACGUCUGGACGGUACCUAAUCAGAAAACCACGGCUAACUACGU
rnacentral:rRNA from 1 species